GGGUUGUGAGGUUAAGCGACUAAGCGUACACGGUGGAUGCCCUGGCAGUCAGAGGCGAUGAAGGGCGUGCUAAUCUGCGAUAAGCGCCGGUAAGGUGAUAUGAACCGUUAUAACCGGCGAUACCCGAAUGGGGAAACCCAGUGUGAUUCGUCACACUAUCAUUAACUGAAUCCAUAGGUUAAUGAGGCGAACCGGGGGAACUGAAACAUCUAAGUACCCCGAGGAAAAGAAAUCAACCGAGAUUCCCCCAGUAGCGGCGAGCGAACGGGGAGGAGCCCAGAGCCUGAAUCAGCAUGUGUGUUAGUGGAAGCGUCUGGAAAGGCGCGCGAUACAGGGUGACAGCCCCGUACACAAAAGCGCAUGUGCUGUGAGCUCGAUGAGUAGGGCGGGACACGUGGUAUCCUGUCUGAAUAUGGGGGGACCAUCCUCCAAGGCUAAAUACUCCUGACUGACCGAUAGUGAACCAGUACCGUGAGGGAAAGGCGAAAAGAACCCCGGCGAGGGGAGUGAAAAAGAACCUGAAACCGUGUACGUACAAGCAGUGGGAGCACAGGUUUACCUGUGUGACUGCGUACCUUUUGUAUAAUGGGUCAGCGACUUAUAUUCUGUAGCAAGGUUAACCGUAUAGGGGAGCCGGAGGGAAACCGAGUCUUAACCGGGCGUUAAGUUGCAGGGUAUAGACCCGAAACCCGGUGAUCUAGCCAUGGGCAGGUUGAAGGUUGGGUAACACUAACUGGAGGACCGAACCGACUAAUGUUGAAAAAUUAGCGGAUGACCUGUGGCUGGGGGUGAAAGGCCAAUCAAACCGGGAGAUAGCUGGUUCUCCCCGAAAGCUAUUUAGGUAGCGCCUCGUGAAUUCAUCUCCGGGGGUAGAGCACUGUUUCGGCUAGGGGGCCAUCCCGGCUUACCAACCCGAUGCAAACUGCGAAUACCGGAGAAUGUUAUCACGGGAGACACACGGCGGGUGCUAACGUCCGUCGUGAAGAGGGAAACAACCCAGACCGCCAGCUAAGGUCCCAAAGUCAUGGUUAAGUGGGAAACGAUGUGGGAAGGCCCAGACAGCCAGGAUGUUGGCUUAGAAGCAGCCAUCAUUUAAAGAAAGCGUAAUAGCUCACUGGUCGAGUCGGCCUGCGCGGAAGAUGUAACGGGGCUAAACCAUGCACCGAAGCUGCGGCAGCGACACUGUGUGUUGUUGGGUAGGGGAGCGUUCUGUAAGCCUGCGAAGGUGGCCUGUGAGGGUUGCUGGAGGUAUCAGAAGUGCGAAUGCUGACAUAAGUAACGAUAAAGCGGGUGAAAAGCCCGCUCGCCGGAAGACCAAGGGUUCCUGUCCAACGUUAAUCGGGGCAGGGUGAGUCGACCCCUAAGGCGAGGCCGAAAGGCGUAGUCGAUGGGAAACGGGUUAAUAUUCCCGUACUUGGUGUUACUGCGAAGGGGGGACGGAGAAGGCUAUGUUGGCCGGGCGACGGUUGUCCCGGUUUAAGCGUGUAGGCUGGUUUUCCAGGCAAAUCCGGAAAAUCAAGGCUGAGGCGUGACGACGAGGCACUACGGUGCUGAAGCAACAAAUGCCCUGCUUCCAGGAAAAGCCUCUAAGCAUCAGGUAACAUCAAAUCGUACCCCAAACCGACACAGGUGGUCAGGUAGAGAAUACCAAGGCGCUUGAGAGAACUCGGGUGAAGGAACUAGGCAAAAUGGUGCCGUAACUUCGGGAGAAGGCACGCUGACACGUAGGUGAAGUGAUUUACUCAUGGAGCUGAAGUCAGUCGAAGAUACCAGCUGGCUGCAACUGUUUAUUAAAAACACAGCACUGUGCAAACACGAAAGUGGACGUAUACGGUGUGACGCCUGCCCGGUGCCGGAAGGUUAAUUGAUGGGGUCAGCGCAAGCGAAGCUCCUGAUCGAAGCCCCGGUAAACGGCGGCCGUAACUAUAACGGUCCUAAGGUAGCGAAAUUCCUUGUCGGGUAAGUUCCGACCUGCACGAAUGGCGUAAUGAUGGCCAGGCUGUCUCCACCCGAGACUCAGUGAAAUUGAACUCGCUGUGAAGAUGCAGUGUACCCGCGGCAAGACGGAAAGACCCCGUGAACCUUUACUAUAGCUUGACACUGAACAUUGAGCCUUGAUGUGUAGGAUAGGUGGGAGGCUUUGAAGUGUGGACGCCAGUCUGCGUGGAGCCGACCUUGAAAUACCACCCUUUAAUGUUUGAUGUUCUAACGUGGACCCGUAAUCCGGGUUGCGGACAGUGUCUGGUGGGUAGUUUGACUGGGGCGGUCUCCUCCUAAAGAGUAACGGAGGAGCACGAAGGUUGGCUAAUCCUGGUCGGACAUCAGGAGGUUAGUGCAAUGGCAUAAGCCAGCUUGACUGCGAGCGUGACGGCGCGAGCAGGUGCGAAAGCAGGUCAUAGUGAUCCGGUGGUUCUGAAUGGAAGGGCCAUCGCUCAACGGAUAAAAGGUACUCCGGGGAUAACAGGCUGAUACCGCCCAAGAGUUCAUAUCGACGGCGGUGUUUGGCACCUCGAUGUCGGCUCAUCACAUCCUGGGGCUGAAGUAGGUCCCAAGGGUAUGGCUGUUCGCCAUUUAAAGUGGUACGCGAGCUGGGUUUAGAACGUCGUGAGACAGUUCGGUCCCUAUCUGCCGUGGGCGCUGGAGAACUGAGGGGGGCUGCUCCUAGUACGAGAGGACCGGAGUGGACGCAUCACUGGUGUUCGGGUUGUCAUGCCAAUGGCACUGCCCGGUAGCUAAAUGCGGAAGAGAUAAGUGCUGAAAGCAUCUAAGCACGAAACUUGCCCCGAGAUGAGUUCUCCCUGAGACUUAGAGUCUCCUGAAGGAACGUUGAAGACGACGACGUUGAUAGGCCGGGUGUGUAAGCGCAGCGAUGCGUUGAGCUAACCGGUACUAAUGAACCGUGAGGCUUAACCUUACAACGCCGAAG
rnacentral:rRNA from 1 species